rfam:Colwellia sp. MT41, complete genome.
CAACAGGCUUUAUUAAAAGCCAUUAGCCAUGCACAACAAAAAGCAC